rnacentral:rRNA from 1 species
UACGAAGGGGGCUAGCGUUGCUCGGAUUGACUGGGCGUAAAGGGCGCGUAGGCGGUUCGUACAGUCAGACAUGAAAUUCCUGGGCUCAACCUGGGGGCUGCGUUUGAUACGUGCGGGCUUGAGUGCGGAAGAGGGUCGUGGAAUUCCCAGUGUAGAGGUGAAAUUCGUAGAUAUUGGGAAGAACACCGGUGGCGAAGGCGGCGACCUGGUCCGAUACUGACGCUGAGGCGCGAAAGCGUGGGGAGCAAACAGG